rfam:Oryza nivara chromosome 4, whole genome shotgun sequence.
UUUAAAUACAAUCAUAAGUCUCCGUGCCCAAUUUUGAUCUUCCGUCUUAUAUGAAUAUUUUUUAUGAUUAUUAUUUUUUUAUUAGAUGAUAAAACAUGAAUAAUACUUUAUGUGUGACUUCUAUUUUUAAAUUUUUUUUAAAAAAAUUAAAUAAGACGGACGAUCAAAGUUGGGUAUGAAAAAUCAUGGCUGCACUUAGG